rnacentral:rRNA from 1 species
AUUGAACGCUGGCGGCGGGCCUAACACAUGCAAGUCGAGCGAGCGGCGGACGGGUGAGUAAUGUCUGGGAAACUGCCUGAUGGAGGUGGGUAACUACUGGAAACGGUGGCUAAUACCCCAUACCAUCAGAUGUUCCCAGAUGGGAUUAGCUAGUAGGUGGGGUAAUGGCUGACCUAGGCGACGAUCCCUAGCUGGUCUGAGAGGAUGACCAGCCACACUGGAACUGAGACACGGUCCAGACUCCUACGGGAGGCAGCAGUGGGGAAUAUUGCACAAUGGGCGCAAGCCUGAUGCAGCCAUGCCGCGUGUAUGAAGAAGGCCUUCGGGUUGUAAAGUACUUUCAGUCGGGAGGCGUUACCGACAGAAGAAGCACCGGCUAACUCCGUGCCAGCCGCCGCGGUAAUAC